CACGUAGGGCGCAAGCGUUGUCCGGAAUUAUUGGGCGUAAAGAGCUCGUAGGUGGUUUGUUACGUCUGCUGUGAAAACCUAGGGCUUAACCCUGGGCUUGCAGUGGAUACGGGCAGACUAGAGGUAGGUAGGGGAGAAUGGAAUUCCUGGUGUAGCGGUGAAAUGCGCAGAUAUCAGGAGGAACACCAGUGGCGAAGGCGGCUCACUGGCCCGGUACUGACGCUGAGGCGCGAAAGCGUGGGGAGCAAACAGG
rnacentral:rRNA from 1 species